GUGAAGAAAAUGACAAGGCACUGGAGUCUCCUGACAGAUAUCAGAUCGACCGUUACAUCACUUCUUCAGUCAAAAGUGCUUUCUUGAAGAUGGCACAUUCUGUAGAGUUUAAAGCGGACACAACACAUGAACCUGUUUUAGCGUCUCUAGCCGAGGAGACAAAGAAGCUUCUGAAUAAAGAUACAACCAUUUUUACGUCUG